CGGCUAUUAAUUUCCCAAAUUUGUUCCCAAUUCUAGGGUUUCCAUAAUCUCAAUUCUCUUCGAAUUUCUCUUGGAAAUCCAGCAGAAUAAUGAAUGAAAAGGGUGACUUUGCUACAAGUAAUGGUACAAAAGGUGAAAGGUCAAUGAACUAUGAUGAAGAAUCCAGUGAUGAAGCUCAGGACAGAGAAAGGCCAAUUGGUGAGGAACUUGGGGCUGGUCUCGAGAGAGGGAAUGAUAGGGAGUCUGAAAAUGUGUCAAAAGAAGAUCUAGCUGCUGAAUCUCCGUGGGAUGUUAAUGAAGAGAAGAGUGAGAAUCACGGUUCAUCCACUGAUCACGAGCCUCUAACGGAAUCUAUCUUCAACUUCCAUGCUGCUCAAGAAGCUCUUGCUAGUGAAAUUCAGAAAUUCAAAGAAAUAGGGAAAGAUACUAACUUUGGUCAUUCACUUGAGGAUGUUGGUAUACCUUCAAAUUUCACGUCAGAUGACUCAGAUUUUCCUAGAUCAAGCACAUCCGUGCUGUCACAGAACAGAGAUGGUGCUCAAAGUUCUCUUAACUCCUUGGAGUCUGAAGUGUAUAGCCUAAAGCAGAAUAUAUUACUGUUGCAAAACCAGGUUCAGGAGGCAGCUG
rnacentral:misc_RNA from 1 species